rnacentral:misc_RNA from 1 species
UUCUUAUUCAAAUAAUAAAAUAAAACACCUAACAACUCUAUAAUAAUAAUGAAAAAAAAUAGAUUUUUAUGAUGAAAGAAAUAGAAAUACUCACAAAUGAAAAAAUAUCAAAUCUUCAUAGAAAAGAAGGCAAUAAAUUCUUCCAAAGGAGAAAAUAAAAACUCAGAUGAAGUGUGGACAAACUUACAAACAGAUACAAAUAUGAAGAUUAUUGAGAAAAAAUAAGUUAAAUAAA